UACAGAGGGGGCAAGCGUUGUUCGGAAUUACUGGGCGUAAAGGGCGCGUAGGCGGCCUGUUAAGUCGAACGUGAAAUCCCCGGGCUCAACCCGGGAACUGCGUCCGAUACUGGCAGGCUUGAAUCCGGGAGAGGGAUGCGGAAUUCCAGGUGUAGCGGUGAAAUGCGUAGAUAUCAGGAGGAACACCAGCGGCGAAGGCGCUGCUCUGGGCCGGUACUGACGCUGAGGAGCGAAAGCGUGGGGAGCGAACAGG
rnacentral:rRNA from 1 species